CUCAUUUGCAGACAUACUGGUGAUUGGUACAGUAGAUUUAGAAACAGUUUAAACUUGUAAGCUUAAGCUUCCGUUUAUAAACAGAAGUUCAAAAUCAUAGGUCCUGUUCAACAUUCAGCUCUGUUAACUUACUCUCACCUCUUUGUUUUUUUACACUUUAUCAAGAUUUCUUCACAUAUUUAUCAAUGUCUGAAGAAGUUACUUAUGCAGAUCUUAAAUUCCAGAACUCCACUGAGACAGAAAAUAUCCAAGAAACUGACAAAUUUGGGAGAAAAGCACCUCCCGCUCCCUCUCGUGUAUGGCGUCCAGCAGCCUUGUUUCUGACUCUUCUGUGCCUUCUCCUGCUCAUUGGAUUGGGAGUCUUGGGAAGCAUAUUUUACAUAACUUUGAAGAUAGAAAUGGAAAAAGUGAAUGAACUACAAAAUAUCAAUGAAGAGCUUCAGAGAAAUGUUUCUCUACAACUGAUGAGUAACAUGAAUAGCUCUGACAAGAUCAGGAACCUCUCCACCACACUGCAAACAACAGCCACCAAAUUAUGUCGUGAGCUAUAUAGAGGAAAAAAAGAGCACAAAUGCAAGCCUUGUCCAGAGAGAUGGAUGUGGCAUGGGGACAGCUGUUAUUUCCUAAGUGAUGAUUACCAAACAUGGCAGGAGAGUCAAAAGGCCUGUGCUGCUCACAAUGCCAGCCUGUUGGAGAUUAACAAUAAAAGUGCAUUGGAAUUUAUAAAAUCCCAAAAUAAAUUAUAUGGAUAUUGGCUGGGAUUAUCUCCCAAAAAAGAUCAAACUAAUCAUAAGAUCGUUGAUGAUAUAAUCAACUCCUCUGACUGACGAUAUCAGACAAAGAAACCAGAGUCUCAACCUGCUGGACACUGUUGGAAGGCCAGAAGUUCUUCAUUUAACACGUGUUUUUUAGUAUAUAUUUUUAGCAGGAGACAGCUCUGAGCCAACUGCGUUCAGGUGCCACCACACUGAGUUUAGGCACUGUGAUCCCUGCGUACUCAUCACAUUGGGCCAUAAUGGCAAACGGAAUUUUUUGUUUUGUUUGCUUUUUCUUUCAGAUAGAAAUAGUAAGUGUAGGAGUGUGGGUCAGAAAGACAAGGUGGCCCCACCUCUGGUGGUUGGCAAUGAUAGGAUAGAAUGGAAGAUAAGCUAUCUCCAAAUGGAAGGAGAAGGACAUAUAUUUUAAAGGUCUCGUUUGGAGUGAAGGACUAGAGACAAAGGUAAUGUGUGUGUCAGGAGAGAGUACAGAUGGAAUCUUGUUUUGAAAAUAUAGAAUAUGUAUGUGUUUGUAAUCAUUGAAAAUGCAAUCUAUAAUGGAAUGGAAAACAGUAGAUAUUUUCAAUUAUCGAAAGGAAAACUGAAAAAAGUCUAUAAUAAUUGUAUGCAUGACAUGUAUGUACAUAAAUACCUUAUUUUCAUCUUUUAAUUCUGGGUUGUUUUGGGGUUUGUUUCUGAAAGGGGGCAGUAAUAAUUGACAUCUGUCCUAUGUCACCAGAAAUAAAUCUCAUUCUUAAAAAUUUAAA